rnacentral:misc_RNA from 1 species
GCGGAGAGCAUGAGCAAUUUGGUGACGGAGAAGUGAAAACCUGGAACCCUAGUAUCUGCUGAAGAACGACGUCGCCGGAACGAAACAUAGAGGAAAGAAGAAGAAGAAGCAGCAGCAGGAGGAGGGAAGGAAGGAAGGAAGGAAGAGGAGUUUGAAGUGAAGCGUAGAAUUUGAUUUUGGAGUCAGGGAUCGGACAGAGUGUGAGGGNNAACAAAAAAAAAAAUUAAGGAAAGAGAGGCAAUAUGAUUAAAACAAAUGACUGAAUACGAG